UUCAUCCUGAGAGUAUCAAAAUGUAUCGGGACUUGAAAUGACAAUAUUGGUGGCCAAGAAUGAAGAAGGAUAUAGUUGACUACGUCUCACGAGGCCUCAUUUAUCAAUGGUAAAGGGAAAACAUAAAAAACAUGGUGGCUUGCUAUAGGGUCUUCCAAUUCUCGAAUAGAAAUGGGAACAUGUGACUAUGGACUUUGUCACUGGUUUGUCCAG
rnacentral:lncRNA from 1 species